GAUAUCGAAGGAAUGGGAUCCACCUGAUUUGUAAUCAGACGGUCGGGGGUUCAAAUCCCUCCGCCAGCUCCA
rnacentral:tRNA from 1 species